AACGCACCUUGCGCUCCUUGGUAUUCCGAGGAGCAUGCCUGUUUGAGUGUCAUUGAAUUCUCAACCAAUGUCCUCUUGAUUUUUCUCGAGGCAUGGCUUGGAUGAUUGGGGGUUGCUGGCUGUCCUAGUCGGCUCUCCUAAAAUGUAUUAGCAAAAGAAGGGGUCUCUCUAGCGUAUACGGCCUUGGACAUGAUAAUGAUUGUCAUGGGCUGGAGCGGUGGUUCAGACUUUUGAUUAUGCUUCCUAAUACUCUAUUGUAUCCCUUGACCUCAAAUCAGGUAGGACUACCCGCUGAACUUAA
rnacentral:misc_RNA from 1 species